rnacentral:rRNA from 1 species
GACAGAGGUGCCGAGCGUUAGGCGGAAUCACUGGGCUUAAAGCGUGUGUAGGCGGACUUCUAAGUACCUUGUGAAAUCCCACGGCUCAACCGUGGAACUGCUUGGUAUACUGGUUGUCUUGAGCCACUUAGGGGCAGUCGGAACAGACGGUGGAGCGGUGAAAUGCGUAGAUAUCGGGAGGAACACCAGUGGCGAAGGCGACUUCCUGGCCUGUUCUUGACGCUGAGGCGCGAAAGCUAGGGUAGCAAACGGG